CAUUGAAACACUGGUUCCCAUACAAUCACUGAAGUUAAGCAACACUGAGCCUGCAUUAAUACCUAGAUGGGUGAUUGCUUGGGAAUACCAGGUGCUGUAAG